GUGGGGGCCCCAGGUUGGGGUAGGGUGGGAGGAGUCACAGGGAGGGUCACAUGGGGAGGUCACGUGCUCCCCCUUGUGUCCCUCCCAUGAGUGCAGUACCGGCAAGAAAUGAUUUCUACUUGCACCACUGCCUUUUAUCACAAUGUCCGGUUUGUCGGGGUGGCAAGAUAGACUGGAGAGUCCUAGAGGACUGUCUGUGACUCCAGGGUAAGACAGGUAGAGGGAUCCAGGUGUUCACAUUUGUCACUGGCUUGGUGAAAUCUAACUUUAGAACUCACCACCAGCUUGGGGGAUCUGUCUUUUUCUGGAAGCCUGGCCUGAGGUUGUGAGUCACUCCAGACAGCGGGACAUGUCUCCUCCUGUGGACUGGCCUCAGCGACUAUAAACGCCUGUUGCAUUAGCCAGGUAGUUUGGGGGGUUGUGAGGAUUUUUUUCUAUCUUUAAAUUCUGUAGUACAGGACUCAUAAGCAACCCUACAACAACAGCAACGCAGUGUGCAGAACCCAGCAUGCAGGAGUGACCCUACGAUAACAAACCAGUGUGCAAAGCCCAGUGCUUGGAGAGACCCUUCAAUAACAAAGAACGUACAUCUCAGCGCUGGUGAGUGACCCCGCGAGAACAAAGCGGCGUGCAGAGCCCAGCGCUGGUGAGUGACCCCGUGAGAACAAAGCGGCGUGCAGAGCCCAGCGCUGGUGAGUGACCCCGCGAGAACAAAGCGGCGUGCAGAGCCCAGCGCUGGUGAGUGACCCCGCGAGAACAAAGCGGCGUGCAGAGCCCAGCGCUGGCAGCCCCCCUGCAAUGGGAACUUCCUUUCAGAUGGAUGAGCUCUGAUUUCUAACAACUUGUAAAUGGUCCUGCCAUCGCAGCGAGAACGCCCACGCGUCCCAUGGCAUCGGCAGGAAACACACUAGCACGUGAUGUGGCUGUUUGCCUGCUUGGAACUGGGCUGAGAACCUCCCCCGUCCCCAGCACCAGCCAGGGCCCUGUGUUGCUUCUUUAUCGCAGCAGGGCCUGUCAGCUCAUGUGACUGUCCAGAACCCCUGCAGGUGCUGGAAGUAAUUAUGACCACGGAUGAAACCUAUCCACUUUCCAGAGACCCAUCAGCUUGGUUGGUGAGAGCAUCCCAGGGUAGCUCUGGUAAUUCAAUCAGAGUCUGUAAUUCGCUAAUGGGCAGGAUCGAUUCUGGGCCGCAGCCGAAAGGGGCUUUGUUUCCAUCGCCCCAGCCCUUUGCCAGCUGGCAAGCUGCUGCCAGUUGAGAAUGACAGAACUUCACCCCUGGCAUAUUCCUCUGUGGCAGAGCAGAGCGCGCCUUGCUGGAGCCUGUCUGGACCAUAUUCCCCAGGGCCGGGCCAGGAUCCUUCCAUACAAUCCAGGCUCCAGGCCUUUGUCCAGCCUUAAGCGUCCCAAGCGAUGGGGGACUAUUCCACAAUCUAGCACAGAGGACCCCAAACUGUGGGGUGGGCCCCCCUGGGGGGGGCAUGGAGAAACAUUCGGAGGGCACGACGGGGUCUGGGACAGCCUCCACAAGGGGUGUGGAGGGAGCGCCACCCAGCCCCGCUCUGCUCCCAGCUCUGCUCUGGCCCCAUCCGCGGCUCCCGGUCCCAUGCCCGGCCCCAUAGCCUCAGCCCCGGACCACAGCCCAACUGUAGCUCUGCACCAGGCCCUGGCCCCGGCCCCAGUCCAGCCCCCAGUCUCAGCCUCUGGCCGCAGCUCCAUUCCCAGCCCCAGUCUCAGCCCUCUUACCCCUGUCUGUGUCUCAGGGGGCUGGGGGGAGGAAGAGGGUAUUGAGAGGGGUAAGGGGGGCCAUGACCCUAAAAAGUUUGGGAACCACUGGUUUACCAGAUUUCACUGUCCGAAAUCAAAGAUGCUGUAGGCGCACUUCAGCCUCUUUAGCAGAUCACUUUUCUCUGAGGUGUCUGGAGCACACGAGCCCUGAAGAAACAUGUCCUUGAGGGCAGUGGCCUUAACGGGGAGGGCUGGGAUUGAGGCAUGUUUCCAUGGGGACAGUUGUGAUAAUUGGACUGACAAAUUGACCCUAAUGGUGAGCUCAGUUGUAAAAAGUCUAUGAAAGUUCACGAGAUGUCACCAUAACCUAUAAAGGCAAGUGUUGAUGGACAGUAGGGCCAGUAGUGUUCAGUAAUGUGCGUUAUAAGCAGGUGCACAAGAACUGGCCAGAGAGACUGGAUUAGCCCAGAUCAAAGAGAGACCACAUUGUGAUAACUCAAGGACAGUGGUGUUGAAACCAUGCUGGGUAAAAAGAGAAGCUAUGGACCUGGAAAUGAAUAGACCAGCAUUGAUGUGUCGGAUAUUAGGCUUCACUGGUGGACAAAAUAAUGAGGGGCCAGGCUGUUCCACCCACCGUUCCCUUUGUGAGUCCUUCAAGAAAGAGACUUUGGGGAGAGAUUAGGGAAGAACAGAUGGAGGCUACUGGAGUGAGUGUCACCAUCAUGGCUGCCACCCCCACUGUCUCCUGGGACCCUGGGCCUUUGUCCUCCUGAUCCGGAGGGAUGUCCUGGCCAGACCGAGCCAGAGAUAGGGACCCAGAUGAUAUCACCACCUCUGCUGACUCCAGCUGAAACCCAGCCACCACCUGGGAUGAAACGGGAUCUGACUUUAACAACAGCUCCAAUCCAUCUCAACUCACUUCUCUUUCCCCUCAAGGAUGGUUAUUAGCAUCUUUGGUAAGUACUAAGAGACUGUCAGUCAAGGGGCUUUUUCCUUCUGAAAACUCUCUCCAGCUAAAGGCAAAUGGAGCAAGGGAUGGUGUUAAAAUCAAAGCCUGACUCAGUACUUUCCAUUUCAAAUGCUUUCUCUGGUUUUCUUUCUUUUCUGUAUAAUAAAAGGGCAGAAGGAUUUUUAGUAAUGUGUUUGCCCUGCUCUGAAGCAGGCUGAAGUCUGUGUACCAAACCUCAGACCUUAUUUACCACUGUUUAAUGUUGGACAGGGACUGGGUUAUAUUAACAGCUUUGGCUCAUUUAAUCCAUCUAAAUAAAUACAACAGGGCCCUCCGCUGAGAUAGUCUUGAUAUGGCCAGCCUUGGCUGAGGUGCCCUUACCCAAGGAGGUCUUAAAGGAAGACCUUUCACGGACAGGUCAGUGAAGAAAAUGUACAAUAAAGCCAACUUUAAGUAUUCUCCAUAUGAAAAAUGCUGGCACAGUUUCCUUCCAAAACGCACAUUCGUCCUGCUGGAAUAAACCCAGAAAAAGAAGCACAACCAAGUUUGUGCCAAAUUUCCUUCACAAAAGUCUCCAGUGGGCCAAAACCAAGCCCGGGGAAGUGAAGCCCCAAAGGAAUUCUGUUUGAGAACAUUGCGAGCAAGUGAAAAUGUGACUCAGAAUGGAACGGGCAUCUCCUGCUUAGCCGUAGUGCAGUGGUCCCCAAACUUUUCACGGUUGUGCCCCCCCCUCAACCCUCUGUGCACCUCCCCCCUCGGGGCUGGGACCGUAGCUCUGGGGGGGAAGGGUGUGCAGACAGUGGUAGGGGGGCUGAGGCUGGGGCUGCAGCUGGGGCGGGUCUGGGACCGGACCAGAGCUGGAAACCGAGCUGCAGCCAGGGGCUGGAGCGCGGAGCGGAGCUGCAUUUGGGGGCGGGGCCGGAGCAGAGCUGGGGGCGGAGGGGGGCUGGGUGACACUCACUCCCCACGGGUGCUGGCAAGGCCCCACCACACCCCACUGAACAUUCCCCUGCACCCCCCCAGGGAGGCGCACCCCACAAUUUGGGGACCACUGCCGGAGCGUUAGCACCAAGGAGUUGUGUUGAUGCAGCGACCAUGCUCCGGGGAGGGACACUAGGAGUUUACUCCCUAUGUUGGCCUCAAGACGUUGAUAGUGUUUGUCUAAUUCUGUAAAACUGGCCUGUUUCCAGGUUUGCUCAGGGAGUGAGGGGCAAGGUGAGCCGCCAAUUAACUGUGCAGAUGCCAUAUACUGCGCGUGCUGAUCACCCCUCCCCGCUCCUCUGCUAUGGAGCAUCCAGGCUGCGCGGGGCAUCUGGCACCUGUUGAACACCGUGCUGUCUGAGGAUGGCUUGAUCAAGCAAUCCCACCGUCCCAUGUGCUCUGUUGGGAUGGCAAGCUGGCCCGCGCCGUUCCGCUCAGUGGCACUGUUUCACACGGGGGGGCAGUUUUACAAAGUGUCCUUUAAAAUAAGAUCUCGCUCAUUCUCCGUUUGCCCAGACAUGGCCUCCCUCCCCCAAACCUCCUGCACACCAUCUUUCGAAUUUUAUUGUGUUGCCUUUUUAAUAUUAUUGUUACAACCUCUUUCACCCCCACCACCAACCCCCAUCACCAUGGUACCCCGGCAUCUCAAAAGGCUGAAACGGAGACAUUCAAAACCUCAGUAAGAAACCAAACAUCAUGACCCUCUGCAGGCCUCAUCCUAUCCUUAACGCUAGGAAACCAGGGGCACGUCUACACUGCAAUAAGAGACCCACAGGGGGAGGGUCUCAGAGCCUGGGCCCAGCCUGAGCCUGAACAUUUACGCUGCUAUUUUAACCCCCAGAGCCCGAGCCCACUGACCCGGGCUGAGUCUUAGUUCUGCAGGUUUUUUAGUGCAAUGUAGAUGUACCCUGGAAGUCCAGGUUUCCCUUUCUGGCUUAGAGACUCAGCUUAACCCGCUUCAAGCACUCUGACCAGGUGACCCCCACCACCUAGUCCAGUGGCCCAGCUAGCUGGCUCAUCCGUGAUCCUGUCUAAGACCUGGGACUUGCCUCCAGUGUUAACGUUUACAGGGGAAGGAGACUGUUGCAUCUCAAACAGGGAGCAGAGGUUUAGCUGAGCACGAUAAUGAGCAGCCAAGUAUGGUGAUGAACAAAAACUAAAUGACUCCUCCCCAUUCUAGAUAACCUCACAGUAGAUCCAGUGUCAGCUUUUCCCAGACUGGAGAGAAGGUGACUAUUUCAGCCAACACAGUCAUCAUUAUUCAUAAACAACAUGAUCUAAACUCUGUCC